AUCCAUACACUGUAACCCAGACUCUUCUAUUUGGAGUCCAUACACUGUAACCCAGGCUCUUCUAUUUGGAAUCCAUACGCUGUAACCCAGACGCUUCUAUUUGGAGUCCAUACACUGUAACCCAGACUCUUCUAUUUGGAAUCCAUACGCUGUAACUCAGACUCUUCUAUUUGGAAUCCAUACGCUGUAACCCAGACUCUUCUAUUUGGAAUCCAUACGCUGUAACUCAGACUCUUCUAUUUGGAAUCCAUACGCUGUAACUCAGACUCUUCUAUUUGGAAUCCAUACACUGUAACCCAGACUCUUCUAUUUGGAAUCCAUACGCUGUAACUCAGACUCUUCUAUUUGGAGUCCAUACACUGUAACCCAGACUCUUCUAUUUGGAGUCCAUACACUGUAACCCAGACUCUUCUAUUUGGAGUCCAUACACUGUAACUCAGACUCUUCUAUUUGGAAUCCAUACACUGUAACCCAGACUCUUCUAUUUGGAAUCCAUACGCUGUAACCCAGACUCUUCUAUUUGGAAUCCACACAAUAAUUUGUUUAUACUUAUAACUUAUAUACAGAUGUGCCCUAUUGUGCCUGGUAUAAUGUGUUUAUACAGACAGCCGUAGACCAAAGACAGCAGACCAGAGAUUAUCUGAAUAAUGCUAUACUGCCGGGUGCAUCUCUCUAUAUAUUUGAGGUUAUUCUGGGCUUAUGAUUGUUAGAAAACGGUGCUACCUUUAUAAGUUUUGGGGAAAGAAAUUCAGAAUGAGAAAAGUUAAGGAUAGGUAAUAAAGGUACCUUUUACACUGGCACGGUCAUUGGUACCUGGAGCAGCCAUCUAGCAGAAGCAGUAAUAGUAUAUUCCAUUCUGAAAAUGAUACAUUUAAAAAUGCCAAUCUGAGGAUUGAGUGAGGAGAUUGUGAUUGUGCAGAGCUUUUGUUAAAAAUAAAUAUAUAUAUGUGGAUGGAACUUGU